rnacentral:rRNA from 1 species
GACGAACGCUGGCGGCGUGCUUAACACAUGCAAGUCGAACGGAAAGGCCCUGCUUUUGUGGGGUGCUCGAGUGGCGAACGGGUGAGUAACACGUGAGUAACCUGACCUUGACUUUGGGAUAACUUCAGGAAACUGGGGCUAAUCCCGGAUAGGAGCUCCUGCUGCAUGGUGGGGGUUGGAAAGUUUCGGCGGUUGGGGAUGGACUCGCGGCUUAUCAGCUUGUUGGUGGGGUAGUGGCUGACCAAGGCUUUGACGGGUAGCCGGCCUGAGAGGGUGACCGGCCACAUUGGGACUGAGAUACGGCCCAGACUCCUACGGGAGGCAGCAGUGGGGAAUAUUGCACAAUGGGCGGAAGCCUGAUGCAGCAACGCCGCGUGCGGGAUGACGGCCUUCGGGUUGUAAACCGCUUUCGCCUGUGACGAAGCGUGAGUGACGGUAAUGGGUAAAGAAGCACCGGCUAACUACGUG